AUUUAAAUAGUUUAAUUUUAAAAAUUUUGAUUUGUGGUGUCAAAGAUAUGAUUUAUUCAUUUUAAAUA
rnacentral:tRNA from 1 species